rnacentral:tRNA from 1 species
AGGAAACUAGUUUAAUAAAAACCAACGAUUUCGGCUCGUUAGAUUCUAAAUAAUUAGAGUUUCUUU